rnacentral:rRNA from 1 species
CCUACGAGCGGCAGCAGUGGGGAAUAUUGCACAAUGGGGGGAACCCUGAUGCAGCGACGCCGCGUGGGUGAAGGAGUAUUUCGGUAUGUAAAGCCCUAUCAGCAGGGAAGAACAAUGACGGUACCUGCCUAAGAAGCACCGACGAAAUACGUGCCAGCAGCCGCGGUAAUCCGGAUGGUGCAAGCGUUAUCCGGAGUUACUGGGUGUAAAGGGACCGCAGGCGGCGCGGUAAGCCUGGUGUGAAAGCCCGCGGCCCAACCGCGGGACUGCAUUGGGAACUGGCGCGCUGGAGUGCCGGAGGGGUAGGCGGAAUUCCUAGGGUAGCGGUGAAAUGCGUAGAUAUUAGGAGGAACACCAGUGGCGAAGGCGGCCUACUGGACGGUGACUGACGCUGAGGCUCGAAAGCGUGGGGAGCAAACAGGAUUAGAUACCCCUGUAGUC